CUUAUGUGAGUCCUUUGCUGCACUAAAAUCUACUUUCUUGGAAAAUGUAGAACAAAUACUCAGGCUGUGAUCUCAUUCCUACCAGUGCUGGGGAUAGGAGUCCCAGGGGCUUCACUGCAAAUUAGAUCCCCUGGAAAGAGACAGAGAGCCAGAACGGAUCCGACCUUGCUGCCGUUCCUGGGAGCGAACUCCUAUUCUUCCGUGCCCUCCCUGCCUUGCCUCUGACAACUUUUCCAGUGAAGAAGAUGUGGAAAAUAGACCAUACAUGGAAAUCUGUGAAUCCUAUGCUGGCAUCUGCAUAAAGGAUCAUUUUCUGGGCGGUAGGCAAAUGGGCCAUUGCUGGUGUUGAUUAAGAACAGUCUUAUGGUUAAAAAAAAAAAGAUAACAAAAAUCCUGUCCUCUAAACCAACAAGCAAGUGAC
rnacentral:lncRNA from 1 species